rnacentral:lncRNA from 1 species
UAAUAUUUCAGUUUCGACCCCGUUUGGUCAUCGAAAACUGUACCGAACAGUAAUCUUUAUCAGAUAGCUGUUGGAUUUUAUUUUCCACCUUUUGGGUGUCAGAAUGAUAUGAAACUUUAAAUCUAGCCUCAUAAAAAUAAUUCUGGCUUAUCCUCCAGUUUCAUAAUUUUCUGAGACUGUGCAUUUUCUGCUAAUUUAACUGUCCCGUUUCCAACAGAAAAUUCUAAAUCUUCUGUUUUCAUUCCGAUUUCAGCACAAGUCAUUUCUGACUUAUGUUUUACUUCUCUAAAUCCAAUAAAAAUAGUUUCUCACGCUAUUUUUAUUUAUUUUUAUUUUUAUACCAAAAUCUGGUAUGUUACAUUCUCCACCUCUUAAAAGAAUUUCGUCCGCGAAAUUCAAACCACGCCUUAAUUCAGCUCCGCGA